rnacentral:rRNA from 1 species
UACAGAGGUCUCAAGCGUUGUUCGGAUUCAUUGGGCGUAAAGGGUGCGUAGGUGGCGCGGUAAGUCGGGUGUGAAAUUUCGGAGCUUAACUCCGAAACUGCAUUCGAUACUGCCGUGCUUGAGGACUGGAGAGGAGACUGGAAUUUACGGUGUAGCAGUGAAAUGCGUAGAUAUCGUAAGGAAGACCAGUGGCGAAGGCGGGGUCUCUGGACAGUUCCUGACACUGAGGCACGAAGGCCAGGGGAGCAAACGGGG